AAACAGGUGGAAGGUUUAAAAAAAAAAAAGUCCRAUUAAUUCUCCACACAACAGGUUGGUUGGGUUUGUCUUUCCUCUGCCCCACUUUUAAGCAAGCGAAAUAAAGCAAAGAUUUAAGAGUUCAGGUUAUCACAAAACAACAAGGUAAAAGUCUAAAGAACAUUCAAAACUUUGGGUUUGGGAUGAUUUUGUUUUUCUCUUAAAACUCCUAAUACACCAGAAGAUGGCCAGCAAAGUCCAAGUAAAGAUACAAAUCUCAAGAAGCUACAAACCAUACCCCCAAAGAAAACCUCCACCCUCCAGUGCCCCUUCCUCCUCUGAAGGGCAACUGUUCAUACAGCUACAUAAAAAUCCAUGUGACUUACUGUCCAAAAAGUCCACAUACAGCAGCUUCCUCUAGCCUUCCCAAUUCCUCGCCCCACUGCGGGACAGGGUGUGCUCUCCGACAGCCGACUGCUUUUUUCUUCUUUUCCCCCUCCUGGUCUGAGCAGCUUCUUGAGGGAGCCUCUACGAGGCAAACGUACUGAUCAAGGAAAGGUUCACGGACUCCUCCGCUUCUGGCUGCAAUUUCAUCAGAAUCUGAAACAUAACCAGAGCGCGAAGGCGAUAACGCGCUGAGCAGGCACCACCCUAAGCGCUGCACAUGCACCUACUACACGGUUUUGCCACGCGCAGCCUCCCGAGGAGCCGAGCUAAUCUCGCCGGGAAGGCUGAUUUCCUGACAAAACACCGAUAGAGAAACGCGCAAAACAAAGCURCUGCGCAGAAGCCGUUUUAGGCUGGGGAGAUGCAAGCCCUCCUGCUGUGCCGCACCGUGCCGCUGGGGCGCGGGUGACACGGGAAGCCAGGCUGCGUUUGACAGGGCAGAGCCUCGACGUCGCAUUCCCGCAGGCUUUGAGGCGCCAGCUGCUCUGAGAGAGGCGACUUGUCUCAACCGUCUUACGAGACGUCAGAGGAUCCCCAGCAGCACCAUUGGCUCUGCUGCUCACAGAUCCGCUUGUGCUCUCCCCCGGAAUGGCGGCGAGAGGCACCCGGCCCUCUGCGCGCAGCUGGAGGAAGGGAGGCCGGAAGGGGCUGUGACCUGCCGCAGGUCCCUUCCUUCUGGCCUGCUCCGCGCCGUGACCGUUUCCCCUCCCGUCCUCCCUCGUCUCCGGGCCUCGCCUGGUUGUUAGCCACCAGGUCAUCCCGCGAACAGUGCCGCGGGGGUCCUGUUAGUGACGGGAACUCCAUAAAGCAUCUAAAUAAACGAACGCAAAGUGGCGUGAGUGUUAACA
rnacentral:lncRNA from 1 species